AGAGCGAACGCUGGCGGCAGGCUUAACACAUGCAAGUCGAACGGGCGUAGCAAUACGUCAGUGGCAGACGGGUGAGUAACGCGUGGGAACGUGCCUUUGGUUCGGAACAACCCAGGGAAACUUGGGCUAAUACCGGAUAAGCCCUUACGGGGAAAGAUUUAUCGCCAAAAGAUCGGCCCGCGUCUGAUUAGCUAGUUGGUGAGGUAAUGGCUCACCAAGGCGACGAUCAGUAGCUGGUCUGAGAGGAUGAUCAGCCACACUGGGACUGAGACACGGCCCAGACUCCUACGGGAGGCAGCAGUGGGGAAUAUUGGACAAUGGGCGAAAGCCUGAUCCAGCCAUGCCGCGUGAGUGAUGAAGGCCUUAGGGUCGUAAAGCUCUUUGUGCGGGAAGAUAAUGACGGUACCGCAAGAAUAAGCCCCGGCUAACUUCGUGCCAGCAGCCGC
rnacentral:rRNA from 1 species